CAUCGACACAGGAAAAACUAAAGAGAAUCGGUAUCAUGAAAGCAGUCAGAUGAGCUCUCUGGUGGAGACGUUUGUGAGUAAAGCCAGCGCUUUGCAGAGACAGGGGAGGGCAGGACUUGUUCGAGAGGGCUUCUGUUUCCGCCUUUACCCCAAAUUCAGAUUGAGAGCUUCAUUGACUACUCCAUUCCUGAGAUUCUCAGAGUGCCUUUGGAGGAGCUUUGCGUUCAUAUUAUGUUACGUACCAACUUUGUCUUUUGAAACUACUUUACUGUUAAAG